rnacentral:rRNA from 1 species
GUGUAGCGGUGAAAUGCGUAGAUAUCGGGAAGAACACCAGUGGCGAAGGCGCUCUGCUGGGCCAUCACUGACGCUCAUGGACGAAAGCCAGGGGAGCGAAAGGGAUUAGAUACCCCUGUAGUCCUGGCCGUAAACGAUGAACACUAGGUGUCGGGGGAAUCGACCCCUCCGGUGUCGUAGCCAACGCGUUAAGUGUUCCGCCUGGGGAGUACGCACGCAAGUGUGAAACUCAAAGGAAUUGACGGGGGCCCGCACAAGCGGUGGAGUAUGUGGUUUAAUUCGAUGCAACGCGAAGAACCUUACCAGGGUUUGACAUCCUGCGAAUCUCUUGGAAACUUGAGAGUGCCUUCGGGAGCGCAGUGACAGGUGGUGCAUGGCUGUCGUCAGCUCGUGUCGUGAGAUGUUGGGUUAAGUCCCGCAACGGGCGCAACCCACGUCUUUAGUUGCCAGCAUUUAGUUGGGCACUCUAGAGAGACCGCCGGUGAUAAACCGGAGGAAGGUGUGGAUGACGUCAAGUCAUCAUGCCCCUUACAUCCUGGGCUACACACGUACUACAAUGCUACGGACAAAGGGCAGCAAGUUCGCGAGGACAAGCAA